rnacentral:lncRNA from 1 species
CUUGCAUUCCACAGAUAACAGUUUUUAGGGAGUUUCAGCUUGCUUGCUACCCAUCCUGUUUUCCAGUGUUACAGGAGGUUACAAAAAGUUCGGGGGGGGGGGGCCUGGCUCGCUUGGGCCUAGAGCAGAGGGCUUCAUUGACACUCAUGGUCUUCCAUCCCUCUGAUUUACCUAGGGUUAUGCCCAGUGACACCAACAACUCCCCCCUUUGAGAAUACUCAACAAAGUUUUGGCUGAUUUUUCUCAUAUUCUGAAGAUAAAAGAUGAUUAAGUGUUUGGGAACUGGGAUCUUCAAUGCAGGGGUAUAGUGAAGCGCUCGGGGAGGGGGAUACACAGACUUUGCAUAGGAGGGCAUUACAGCACGCAAAUAAGAGGAGGGUAAUUAAACACAACAUAACACCGGUGACCAGGAGGUGAAGGAUGCCCGUUCCUAGGCCUCCGAGUUUGGGCAACCAGCUCCAAAGGGAAUCAAAAACAGUGGGUUUACGUUCCUGACUUUUCCACUGCUCAAAAGCCUGUUCGGCCGACAAAAUGUGUUUGUUAAUAUCUUGGGAAUUUUCUGGAAUAUAAGUACAACAUUUGUUCCCAAUUAGAGCACAUACCCUCCCCCCCGAUGCUAAAACAUAAUCUAGAGCCUGCCGGUUUUGAAGAGAUAAUAAAUGAAGUUGAUAAAUCUCGGAGUUAAGGCUCUUUUCAAUAGCUAAAGUGUCAUUGGCAAAUUUUGUAAGAAACACAGAAAGUUGACGAUACAGCUUGGCUAACCGGCCCACUCCAUACGAUGAGAGAAAGAUCAUGCCAAAUCUGUCUCAUGGUGAAUCCAGUUCUUGUGUCCGUCGACCUUUGCCGCUGUGUGGGAAACUAGUAGGACAGUGUGAGGUCCUUUUCAUAGGCCAUGCCCUUCCAAACAUAAUCUCAAAGGGGCUAAGCCCUAAUCUUCCCUUGGGGAGGGCACGGAUGCGAAGCAAAGCAAAGGGCAAAGCAUCGGGCCAUCACAGAGAGGCCUCCUGGCAGAUUUUUGAUAGAUGACGCUUGAGGGUCUGAUUUGUACGAGUACUGGGGAUCCGGGAGCGCCCCCACUGAUGGAAUGAGGGCAUGCAUAGGGGUGUCAGCAGGUCUCAGCGUCCUCAGGGUGGCAGCAUUUUUAGCUUCUCUGUCCCCCCGGGCGUUACCCCUGGCUAUGUCUUGAUCCUCUUUCUGAUGCGCCUUACAGUGCAUUACUGCCACUGCCGAGGGAAGUUGAACAGCUUCCAGGAGUCGGAGAAUUUGGGGUCNNNNNNNNNNNUCGUGGUCUUCCA